GGCAGUAGCUCAGUGGUGGAACAUCUGCCUUGCAUGCAGAAGGUCUCAGGUUCAAUCCUCAGCAUUGCCA